GGAUGGAUGGUAAAUAAUUGAGCCAUGUUUUGGGCAGUCAAUGACAUCCAUUGGGAUGAACUGUGUACAGAAUGGAAGGACAUUGAGCUCUGCUCCAACUGAUUUGUAGGCUGCAAUUACUUCCUGGAUAGGCUUGCCUUUAGCUCUCCAUCUGGGAAAUUUAAAAACAGGAGUGCCAUCCUUCUCUGCUGCCAGUGCCAAAGGAUCAGCUUGUCCAUUCUUGUCAGGCACUGUGAAAACUCCCACAACUUUAUGGCCCUCUUUCCUGAGCUUGUUAUAAACUUCUUGUCCAAAAAUGCUUUGACCAAUAAGGGCUAGCUUUAGCUUAUGCUGGUAUGCCGCGGAGCUCGUGCAGAAGGUCCGCAACAGGCGCGGGGCUGCCCGCAACAUCUUGCGGUGCGCGGUCGGGCGAUCGAAGUGCCGACCCGGCGAAGCGCCUCGUCUGACGCAACCCGCGCCGAUGGCGCCCGGCCAGAUCCUGCGGCCCCGCCGCGGCGGCGCGGCCCCGCCCGGGGUGCGGCAUGGCGGCCGGGGGGCAGCCCCGCACCUGCCGC
rnacentral:lncRNA from 1 species